UCGCUAGUAAUCGCGGAUCAGAAUGCCGCGGUGAAUACGUUCCCGGGUCUUGUACACACCGCCCGUCACACCAUGGGAGUCGGGAAUGCCCGAAGUCAGUGGCCCAACCGGAAGGGGGGAGCUGCCGAAGGCAGGCCCGGUGACUGGGGUGAAGUCGUAACAAGGUAGC
rnacentral:rRNA from 1 species